rnacentral:rRNA from 1 species
GAUGAACGCUGGCGGCGUGCCUAAUACAUGCAAGUCGAGCGAACAGACCAGGCGCUUGCUCCUCUGACGUUAGGGGCGGACGGGUGAGUAACACGUGGAUAAUCUACCUAUAAGACUGGGAUAACUUCGGGAAACGGGAGAUUAUACCGUAUAAUAUAUUGAACCGCAUGGUUCAAUAGUGAAAUUCGGUGUUUCUGUAUCUUAUCGAUGCAUAUGGGCCGCAUUAGCUAGUUGUUGGGGUUAAGGCCUACCAAGGCGACGAUGCGUAGCCGACCUGAGAGGGUGAUAGGCCGCAUGAGAACUGAGACGCGGUCCAGGCUACUACGGUAGGCACCAGUAUGGAAUCGUCCGCAGUAGGGGGGAACCUGGCAGAGCAGCGCGGAGUGAGUGAUGGAGAUGCUGCGUGCGGAAUACUCUCUUAUGAGUGAAGAACAAAUUUGUAAGGAACUGUGGACGUAUUGACGGUACCUAGUAAGAAAGCCACGGCUAACUACGUG